UGGAGUUGCACGGGGUCCGUAUGUCUCCGGUGCAUCAGGGUGGCAUUCAUCUCACUGCCGAUGCUACAAUGUCCAUCAUUUAUGUCCAGGCUGCCUCCACGGCGGUCCUAGACACAGAUACCUGGUGGAAAUGGUGGUGCUGCAGAUACCGCUGCUGUGGAGGAGGCUGUGACCCCGGUGGGAACGGAGGAGGUGCCUGCUGAUGCUGGGGACGGGAAGGAGGGUUGUCUGACAGCUUCCGGUUCAUCAAAGGCAGAAAGGGAGAGGUGACUUGAAAAGGACCCCUGUGCUUUGGGGAAGUCAAGGCUCUCUUCUGAGCCACCAGCUGAUUUGAAGGCUGGAUUCUACAAUCAUCAGAGCAGAGUGUGUUCCCACCCAGAGCACACAAAAGUGCCGAAGAAAAAAAAACCCCAAAGGUCAACUGAGAUCCUGUGGAUUAUUUAUCUUACAAGACAAACAACCCGAAUGUUGCCAAACUGCUGGAUACCCUGCCCUCCGGAUAACCCUACUCUUGACUUUGCAUAGUCUGGAGCUGUCAUUUACAGCCUGGUGACACGGACUCAAGACAGCAACAUUCUGGCAGAGCCAUGAAAACAGGCCUGAUGUCCCAUGAACCAGGAAGGAACAAGGCCUCUCUGCUCAUAUUGUAACAGCUCAUGAACCAGAAAUACUUUAUUGUUAUUUUUAUUUAACAAACAAUUACAUAGAAACUUGGGCUCUGUAUGUGCUCGCACUGUACAAAUAUUAACUCAUUUAAUCCGGUUUAAAGAAAACUUUAUACUGUCUCUCUUAUCUCUGAGCCCCGAAUCCUAGAGAGUGAAUACUUCUUUCCAUUUCCUGGUUAAAACAAGCCACAAGAGCUCCGCUGACCUUUGUUUGCUGAACUUCUGAGUGCUCUGAUGGGAACACCCUCCUCUCUGAUGAUUGUUGCAUCCCAGCCUUGAAAACAGCUGGUGGCUUAGAAGGGCAGGUUGACUUCCCCAGGGCACACGGGUCCUUUCCAAUCACCUUCCCCGGGGUUCCAGCUAUUCUAGUGCGUACUUCUUCCUUUAUUACACCUCUCUCUCUCUCUCUCUCUCUCUCUCUCUCUCUCUCUCUCUCUC